rnacentral:rRNA from 1 species
CUACGGGCGGCUGCAGUCGAGGAACUUUUACAAUGCUCGAAAGAGUGAUAAAAUGAGUCAGAGUGUUUCUCUUAGAGAAACUUUUAUCUGUUGUAAAAAUACAGAUGAAUAAGGACUGGGCAAGACCGGUGCCAGCCGCCGCGGUAAUCCCGGCGGUCCAAGUCGCAUCCACAUUUAUUGGGUCUAAAACAUUCGUAGCUUGUUUUAUAAGUUUCUUGUAAAAUUCUACAUCUCAAAUGUAGAGCAUGCAAGAAAUACUAUUUAACUUGGGACCGGAAGAUGCAAAAAGUAUGAUUGAGGUAGCGGUAAAAUGUGUUAAUCUCAAUCAGACUAACAACAGCGAAGGCAUUUUGCAAAUACGGAUCUGACAGUGAGGAAUGAAGGCUAGGGGCGCAAAAGGGAUUAGAUACCCGAGUAGUC